rnacentral:rRNA from 1 species
UACGUAGGGGGCAAGCGUUGUCCGGAUUUAUUGGGCGUAAAGAGCGUGUAGGCGGUUUGGUAGGUCCGUUGUGAAAACUCGAGGCUCAACCUCGAGACGCCGAUGGAAACCAUCAGACUAGAGUCCGGAAGAGGAGAGUGGAAUUCCUGGUGUAGCGGUGAAAUGCGCAGAGUAUCAGGCAAGAACGACCCGUGGCGUAAGGCGGCUCUCUAGUACGGUACUGACGCUGAGACGCGAAGGCGUGGGAGCGAACAGGAUAGACUACCUUGUA